rnacentral:rRNA from 1 species
AUUGAACGCUGGCGGCAUGCCUUACACAUGCAAGUCGAACGGCAGCGGGGACUUCGGUCCGCCGGCGAGUGGCGAACGGGUGAGUAAAGUAUCGGAACGUACCUUUCAGUGGGGGAUAACGUAGCGAAAGUUACGCUAAUACCGCAUAUUCUGUGAGCAGGAAAGCAGGGGAUCGCAAGACCUUGCGCUGAUUGAGCGGCCGAUAUCAGAUUAGCUAGUUGGUGAGGUAAAGGCUCACCAAGGCGACGAUCUGUAGCGGGUCUGAGAGGAUGAUCCGCCACACUGGAACUGAGACACGGUCCAGACUCCUACGGGAGGCAGCAGUGGGGAAUUUUGGACAAUGGGGGCAACCCUGAUCCAGCCAUGCCGCGUGAGUGAAGAAGGCCUCGGUUG